AGCUCCAAUAGCGUAUAUUAAAGUUGUUGCAGUUAAAAAGCUCGUAGUUUGAAUUUGGCGGGGCAGGUGUGGUCGACCGCAGCACGUGGUUAGUACCAGACGUGACCGGCCCAAUGCGCGGGGACAUUUGGAUGUGCACGUGCAGGGAUACCUUGAAAAAAGUAGAGUGUUCAAAGCAGGCGUUCGCCUGAAUAGUCUAGCAUGGAAUAACGGAAUACGACGCAGGUCGGGAAUUUUGUUGGUACGGGGACGACAUUGCGUGAUGAUCAAUAGGGACAGUUGGGGGCAUUCGUAUUUUCGAGUCAGAGGUGAAAUUCUUGGAUUUCGGAAAGACGAACGUUUGCGAAAGCAUUUGCCAAGGAUGUUUUCA
rnacentral:rRNA from 1 species